ensembl:lncRNA
GGUUGCAGGGGUCAUCCAGCUUAUCCCAGCUGUAACAGGUCACCAGUCUAUCAAAAGGGCCACACUGAGACAAACAACUAUUCCUAUGGCCAGUAUAUUCACCAAUUAACCAUUCUAAGAUGCCAGUGAACCGAGUAGGUCCCACGUGGGCCAUCUCCACACAGAAGGACCCCAGCUGGCUCACAGGUUUAACCCUUCUCUGUACCUUCCCCCAGCACCGCCAUGCCACACAGUAAGGGCCAAGUAUACAGUCCAGCCACAUUGCACCUUUGUGAGCAGUGGUGUCAUAUUCAGUUUUUGCCACAUGGUGGCACUGUGGAUCACACAAUGAGGGAAACAAAAAAAGGAAACACUAACAGGCAGGUGGUUUCAUAUUGAGACUUCUGUGUUACUUAAGGAACUAAGAACUGGUGGAGACACACUAAAAAAGGUAAAAGAGAGAACCAUCCUUUGUCUCACUGCAUUGCACAGAGAAUGGAGCAGCACUUUACCCAGCUUUUAUUUAUUCUGGUGAUUGUAACAUCUGAAUGCAGAGUUGUCUCCUCAGUGACUGAAACUGUGUCAGCUUCUAAAGAGGAAGAUGUAACUCUCUCCUGUUUAAAUUCAACUCUGGUGGAACCAAAGAGCUGCUACAGAGUCAGAUGGAUAAAGCAUGGCGCAGGUACCAGUCAGGAGAAGGUCCUCUCUCUGUGGCCAAAGAAAGUCAGUGCUGACUAUCAUGCACAAGGGGAAUCUGAUAUAAAAGGACAAAGUCGCCUUUUUCUAACAAAGUUACAAAAAUCUGAUGAAGGCCGGUACAGCUGUGAAAUAUGGCGAGGAUGGGACCUUCUACACAUCAGGAACAUAUCUCUAAAAGUGAAAGACUGCAAAGCCCUUCCACCAGUGGAAGCAGAGCCCUCUACACCUGUCCACCUGAGCUGUCCCUUUAACACAACACUGGGACAGCAAGGACUCUACAACGUCUCCUGGGCAAAGCUGAGAGGAGAUCACCCUAUGUCUGUGGACUCUAACAGGGUUGAAAUGAACGGCACAUCACUGCUUCUCCAGUCUGUGAAUACCACUGACAGUGCUUGGUACAGAUGUAGUUAUAUGUACGGACAAACCUGGCGCUGCUUUGACAUCAAGCUGCUUGUCCAAGUGAAACAUGCGUUCACAACCAUCCCAGUUAUUGCAACACAAACUCAACAAGUGACGGCCAAUCAGAUUGCUGGGACUGAUGAGCAGGAGCGGAGCAAUGACGUGUUGGCUGCAGUUGUGGCAUCAGUCAUUUCUGGCAUCAUCCUGAUUGCUGCACUGGCGGGACUGUUCAUUUACAGACGCAGACGUGACAAUCAGAGAGCCAGGCUGCAACCCCAGAUGCUCACCACAGGUUGCAUUGAGGACGGUUACGAGCCUCUGAAUUUGGUAUCAUCACGUGGUGAUUAUGCUCAGAAAGUCAACAGUAUAUACAGAUUUCCAGAUGAAAGCUUGCAUACUUUCCGGCUUUAGUCACUCUUAGACUACUCAAGAAAAAGAAGAUUAUCUUCAUUAAACCCAACUGGAUUAUCUAAUCUGGAUGAUUUUAUCAUGUUGAAAUGUGCAACCUAAAAUCAGAACUAAUCAUUUAGUCUCGUCAAAUGCUUGUAUGCAACUUGUGCUGUUUUCUGGAUUAUCAGUUACUAUUGUCGUAUUGAUCAUUUUGUUGCUUCUGUGCUGAAUGCUUGCACUUAAAAUAACUAGAAGUGAAUAUCACAAUACAGAGAAGAAUGUGCAGUUAUACACUUAUGUUCCCGUGUUGAGCUGCAGAUUUUCAUCCACAGGCAGAUGUGGCAGAUCUAUAUGGAUCAAGUUUCAGUUUCCUUAAACACAUGGUUAAUAAACUGCUAAAGGCUAAAACAAACAGUUUCUUUUUAUUAGAGAAUGGAUGAAUAGCAAGGGAAUUUGUAACAUUUAGAGCGAGAGAAGAAGAAACAGUAGGACAGGAAGUACAUUCAUAUAUAUAAACAGGUGUGACCCAGCAUGUUUUUAGAUCCAGGAUUUUUCUAUAUUGUGUAAUUUUUUUUUUCCAAAAAGCAAAUGAAAAAUUUCACUCUAAUUUACAGCCUGCAAUAAAUGAUAUAAGCUGGUUGUUGUGGUUGUAUCUGUGUUGCUUUGUCUCUGCUGUUGUGGUUCCUCUUCAGCACGAAUCACUUCAUAAACAUGAGUCUGUGAAAAAGAACUCUGCUUAGUUAGUUUGCACAUUUAUUGAUUAAUUUGCACAUUUGUAUGCAAAAUAUAUUUUAGUUUGCUGUUUAGCAGCAUUGUCUUACCAUCCCAAUACUUGACUGUUCAUUUGCUGCAAACAGAAGAAGACAGGCAUCAGAACAGUGUAACUGCAGCUCUUACAUCAGCGCUCCACCUCUUUCAGUACCUGCAUCCUUGUUGUGCUUCCUCUUCAUGUAAACCACUCCAGCAGCCACACAUAUCAGGAGGCCCAGAGGAAGCACUAACCACGCAGGGGUUUGCAGCGCUGAAAGCAAUAAAUCAGGACUCAUAAAUAUUUUAAAGUUUGCUUAGGAGGAAACGCAACAAAACCAUACUUACGGUUAACAGUGCGCCACUUCUUCGAUGCCAUCAGAGCCCCCUCUCUGUGCACAGAGCAGGUUAUUUCAUCCCACCUCUUUAACCCGUCUGGGAGAAAUAUCUCCUUUCUUAAGGUGUUAUUGACCUGCAUUAAUCUGCUCUGCAGGGCUUUCUGGUCACCUCCAGACCAGCUUAAAUUGAAGUCUUUGUCACAUUCUUUUGCACAAGUAAGCACACAAGUCAGGUUGAGAUAUUCUCCGUCUGGGGCAGACUCUGCAGUAACUAGAGACACAGAAGGUGUGAGUAUGUGUGAUAGUUUGAAUUGAUGUUGUGUUUGGGCUCUUACACUUACCAUCGAGUGUGUGCAGCCUGAUUUUAUUGAGCACACUAUGCUGACCUGUGGCUUCUGAACACUUGUAAUCUGCAGCAUGCAGUGCAGUCAGUUUGCUAAUGACCAAGGAAGUGUCUUGUGGUACCAUAUCGGAUGUGAUGUCAUGCAUCAGUGGCUUUUCACACUUUGCCCACUCCACUCCAUAAGAGGAAGUGUGGCCACAAGAUAGUGACACUGACUCACCCACUGCACCAAACACUUCCUGUAAUCCAUCUACAAAAGAAAGCACCACUGGUUAUACUUACAUUAAAAAAAUUGUAUUUUACUUUGCAGGGCAGUUUAGUACCUGUCACAGUUGUUGUAUAGACGCUGGUGGCUUUAAUUUCACCAUUCUGAGUUAGAUGGCACUGCCAUUUUCUGUGAUGAUCCGUUUGUUUUUCCUUUAUGAUCAAUUUAGAGAAGCAGUCUGAUGAAUUUUCGAAUGUAAAUCUGUCUCCACUUAUUGGUGUAUCAUCCUCAGCGCUCCACUUAAUAAGGAUCUCUUUGUUUUUACAGGGGACAUAUCCUUUAAAUGUAUUGAGGAUGCAGUGCAGCUCUAUAAUGUCAUCCUUACGAGGUAAACUCUCAGUCACUGUUAAAUAGAAAAUAAAAGUGAGCACAGUGUUGUUAUCAUUUACCAAAAAUGAAGGAAAGACACUAACAACACGUCGCUUACCAUUAAGAAUCUGGAGUGAAACAUUUGAAAUGUGUGUUCCACUCACACAGGAGUACAGGCAUGCAUCGUCCAGCACAGAGUGAGUGAUCUUCAGAGAGCAGUCCCACAGCAGGACGUGUGUGCGGUCCUCUGCCACACUGGCAGUGGUUCCAUACUGCCCGUACUUCAGCCAGUUAACAGAGGAGCAGGAUUUAAUAGAAGGUAUACCACAAGGCAAAGUAACUGUGUCCCCUUCUAAGGCAAACAUCAGCAAGGGCUCUGUUGGAGAUGAUAAAAAAAUGGAUGUAAGUAAAUGCAAAUACUGUACAUCCUGUUCUAUGACUGAUGAACUGAAAAUCACACAAAGCCACCAGCAGAUGAGGCACAGUGUACUGACUGAACCAGUGAAUCCAAAUAUAUAUUCAUAACCACAGUUCAUAUGACAGUUUUGGUUGGUUUAUUAAAAGGGUUUCUUUAAAGUUUUAGAGUUAAAUGUGAUAUUUACCAGCUGUAGGAGGUCCAGCUGAAGCCCAAGUAAGAAACACAAGACAAAGUCCUAACAGAGAAGGAUAAUUCAUCCUUCUCUCAAAACACUUCUUGAUUUUUCUUGCUUAUUGCUUAAUCCAUCUGAUAGCAGAAGUUCCUGAAGGAAAUGACACAGACACCUUAUUUGUAAGUUUGAGGCCAGCUCUGUAUGAAAACUCUUUAUGUGUGUGUGUGUGUGGGUUUCCUGUUUGUCACAUGUUUGAGUAAAACUUUCUAUUAUCAGAUCAUUUAAACACACACUUAACCCCUCAAGAUCUAUGGGUGUUUUUGGGGACUUUCCUCACCUGGCAUUCUUUGUAUUUUACUGCUCAUUAAAACUAGACAGUUAAGACAGUAAAAGUACUGUCUCUGGUGUGUUUGGUGUUUGGCCACUGGAUGGUGCUGUCACACUCAAUGAGACAUAUUGUCAGUGUUCUGAGUCAGUUUUAAUCAGGGUGGAGAAUAAAGGAGGAGAAAGAAAAAUAAAUAUGCACUUCAAAUGAUUGUUAUCAUUUAUUAUCUAC